rnacentral:misc_RNA from 1 species
AAAUUAAUUACCACAUGUUUUUGAACAACACCAAAUUAAUUUUCUUUUUCAAUCGUUUUUAUAAUAA